GGGUCAGUAGGUUGGUCGUGCUACCGGUACGUACUGGUCUCACUGGUUCCUCCUUCCUGAAGAACCGUAAUGCCAUUAAUUUGGUGUUGCGGGGAAACAGGACUGUUACUUUGAAAAAAUUAGAGUGUUUAAAGCAAGCUAACGCUUGAAUACAUUAGCAUGGAAUAAUGAAAUAGGACGAUCGAUCCUAUUUUGUUGGUUUCUAGGAUUGACGUA
rnacentral:rRNA from 1 species